AAAAAACAACGAACAAACACAGUGAAACUCCUGCCUGUCUGAGGUAUAAAGACUUACAACAGAGACAGUGCAGAAGACCUUCUGGACCUCAGGUCUGAUACCAUCUUGAGAAAGCAACACAGAACUUCACAGAGGUUGUAUAUAAAGACCAAGCUGCUCAGUGAGAUAGAUGAACGGUUUGAUCCAGAGGUUCUGCAGCCCACAAGCCACUUGAAAACAGUGUUUUGUCUGCAUAAAGUCCUAUUAAUUCAUCCACUUUUGACAGAAUUUAUCACCUGUGUAUGUUGUAGCAGAUACAGAUCUUUUCCAGUUUUACUGGUCCCAGUAUGAAUAACUGGGCACAAAGGGCUGGAAGUUGUCAGCCAAUUAGAAGAUGGAGCAGUCUGUCUUGACAAGUUUUUACUAAGCUCUCUGGCUUUAGUCCAGAAAAUCUUGCAUACCAGACUCCAACUGCUUCUCCUGAAUUCUGUCUCAUUCCAAUGGUAGAUCUGCUCCCAGAGUACAAUACCUAGAUCAGGAAUUCUGUGAUUUAUCCAUUAAUUUUUCAGAUCAAGAAAUCCUACCAGUUGAAACUAGACCAUUAGAAGCCUGUUAGUCUGUCCUGGAAAGUAAGUUAUUUCCUUCAGUGGCAAACAUGGAAUAGAAGAUGAUUACCCUUGUGCCAUCCAGAUUUAAAUCAAAAGAUAGAUUUGGAGGUCUGAACAUAUGAAAAGAGAUGUUGAUGGAGCAAUCAUUCUGUUACAUCUACAGAGCUAAAAAUCCUGUGACUGAAGUAUUCAGUACAAGAAUGAGAAAAGAAGAGGCAAUGAGAAACACCACAUAGGCUGGAUUGCAACAAGCUGCUGGGUCAGACCGAACUUUGUGAAAUCUGAGGACUGAGUACUGUUCACACAGCCAGGAGGAUGUAAAGAGCAAACCAACAUGAAUGAAACAUGGUUAACUUCUGCAAAGAUUCACCACUAUCAGUCUUCUGAAUUGCCAGCGCUGCCAAAAAUUAUCAGUUCUCUUCUGGAGUCCAUACGCUUGUGAAGAGAUGUACCCUAUCAUUACUGUGGGUGUGUUCAGGCUGAGAAAACAGCUGAAAAGUGGUGCUUUGAUUCCAUUGUUCAAAAUGAAGCAACUUUGGAAUCAAACUGCCUCCAAAUUUUAACAGUGAAAGUCAGGUGUUCCCUUCCCACUCAAAUGUGAAUUCAGCAAAAAUGUUGAUCUUUUUCUUAUAUACAAUUUUGUGUUAUGGCAGGUAUUUCUAGCUACGUCUGUUGAACAAACAGUGUAGAUUUCAACAUGCAAUGUCUACAUUGCCAUAGACACUACUCUUUUUACCCCAACA
rnacentral:lncRNA from 1 species